AGUUCUGUGGACCGAGUGGUCAAAGGCGACUGAUUCAGAGUCAGUUUAUCGUGGGUUCGAAUCCCACCAGGACUA
rfam:Tritrichomonas foetus strain K scaffold_10, whole genome shotgun sequence.